rnacentral:rRNA from 1 species
GAGUUUGAGUCUGGCUCAGGAUAAACGCUGGCGGCGCACAUAGGACAUGCAAGUCGAACGGACUUAAUCUUAAUAUUUAUAUUGAGAAGCGGUUAGUGGCGGACUGGUGAGUAACGCGUAAGCAAUCUGCCUAUUAGAGGGGAAUAACAGUGAGAAAUCAUUGCUAAUACCGCAUAUGCCAUAAGAAUCACAUGGUUCUAGUGGGAAAGGAGUAAUCCGCUAAUAGAUGAGCUUGCGUCUGAUUAGCUAGUUGGUGUGGUAAUGGCACACCAAGGCAACGAUCAGUAGCCGGACUGAGAGGUUGAACGGCCACAUUGGGACCGAGAUACGGCCCAGACUCCUACGGGAGGCAGCAGUCGGGGAAUAUUGCGCAAUGGAGGAAACUCUGACGCAGUGACGCCGCGUAUAGGAAGAAGGUUUUCGGAUUGUAAACUAUUGUCGUUAGGGAAGAUAAAAGACAGUACCUAAGGAGGAAGCUCCGGCUAACUACGUG